AAAUUAAAAAUAGCUUUGUUUGCUGUCUCCCGACCGCCCCUAAAAAAACGCUGCGCUCCGAAAAAUUUUAUUUGCUCUCGCCGACCAUUUUUUUUUUUUUUUUGGUGCCGCAUAUUUUUACCGAUAUCCGUUCAAUAAUGGCGUGUAGUAUACUGGUUCCCGCGUAUUAUUCGUCACGUGUAUCGACUAUCAAGUACCGCCGGGUAAAAGUCGAUUGUGUACAUUUCCGUUACAAUUUUGCAAAACGAAAGUUAGAAGAUCUUCAAGAAGACGAGUAUUUUAUCAUCUCGUCAACAUUUAUUAUUACGUUUAUUCAACUUUGUUGAAAAAUAACCUCCACGAGAAUGAAUUGGUCUGGGCAUGGGCCGAUCUGUCUAAUGACGUCGAGGAUUUUUAUCCGAAAAAAAUCGGACGUUCUUACGGACUUUAAGAAUAGUCUUCUAGUGGCUCAAAAUGCAAGGCACUGAAUGUGGAUAAACCAAGAGAAUAAAUUGACAGGGAAACAUGAUCUCUAAAACACAGCCUUGAGAAAUUUGAUUAAAGCUGUGUUUCAGUCAUUACAGUUGAUGGAGAUGCUCUGCAAGGGAGAGUGUUUGUAUGACUGCAGAUGUCAUGCCAAUCUCACGUGGAGUUCCCUUACUGUGCCUCCAACAUUGGACGACCAGAUAUUUGUGCCCAUUGUGAUGAGCCAGAAGCACAGAAAAAUCCAAAACUGUUAACAAAGU